rnacentral:rRNA from 1 species
GAGUUUGAUCGUGGCUCAGAGCGAACGCUGGCGGCAUGCUUAACACAUGCAAGUCGAGGGGCAGCAAGGGUAGCAAUACCUGUUGGCGACCGGCAAACGGGUGCGGAACACGUACAGAACCUACCUCAAAUCUGGGGCAUAGCCCGGAGAAAUCCGGAUUAAACUCCCCAUAACAUAUAUGAGUGGCAUCACUUGAAUAUUAAAAAUUUAUUGGAUUGAGAUGGCUGUGCGUCCCAUUAGCUAGUUGGUAGGGUAACGGCCUACCAAGGCGACGAUGGGUAGCUGGUGUGAGAGCACGACCAGCCACACGGGCACUGAGACACGGGCCCGACUCCUACGGGAGGCAGCAGUAAGGAUAUUGGUCAAUGGACGCAAGUCUGAACCAGCCAAUGCCGCGUGGAGGAUGAAGGCCCUCUCGGGUU